CGAUGGCCCGCGCAAGCGGGAUCAGGUAAGGGUGAAAGGGUGCGGUAAGAGCGCACCGCGCGGCUGGUAACAGUCCGUGGCACGGUAAACUCCACCCGGAGCAAGGCCAAAUAGGGGUUCAUAAGGUACGGCCCGUACUGAACCCGGGUAGGCUGCUUGAGCCAGUGAGCGAUUGCUGGCCUAGAUGAAUGACUGUCCACGACAGAACCCGGCUUAUCGGUCAGUUUCACCU
rnacentral:RNase_P_RNA from 2 species